CGGAGCAUUUUACGUAGGUGCUGCAUGGUUGUUCGUCAACUCGUGCCGUGAGGGUGUCGGGUUAAGUCCCAUAACGAGCGCAACCCUACCUUUAGUUGCCAUCAGGUAAUGCUGGGGACUCUAAAGGAACUGCCUACGCAAGUAGUGAGGAAGGCGGGGAUGACGUCAAAUCAGCACGGCCCUUACGUCCAGGGCUACACACGUGCUACAAUGGCCGAUACAGAGGGCAGCUACCUGGUGACAGGAUGCAAAUCUCCAAAGUCGGUCUCAGUUCGGAUCGGAGUCUGCAACCCGACUCCGUGAAGUUGGAUUCGCUAGUAAUCGCGCAUCAGCCAUGGCGCGGUGAAUACGUUCCCGGGCCUU
rnacentral:rRNA from 1 species